rnacentral:rRNA from 1 species
UACGGGGGGGGCAAGCGUUGUUCGGAAUUACUGGGCGUAAAGGGCUCGUAGGUUGCCAACUAAGUCGGGUGUGAAAGCCCGGGGCUCAACCCCGGAACGGCAUCCGAUACUGGCGGGCUUGAGACCGGGAGAGGAGGGUGGAAUACCCAGUGUAGAGGUGAAAUUCGUAGAUAUUGGGUGGAACACCGGUGGCGAAAGCGGCUCUCUGGCCCGGAUCUGACGCUGAGGCGCGAAAGCGUGGGGAGCAAACAGG